rnacentral:misc_RNA from 1 species
AAGUCUAAUGAGAAAAUGUAUCUAUUUUUUUACUGUGACGUGAAUGAUUACUGUAACAGUAUUUGUAUAAAAAGCAUUACUCUAUUUACCGCUGCAACGUAAGACCGUUAGUAGUUGGUAGGAAAUGGCGUGAAAUGUGUGUUUGAAAAUUGUUAUAUGGCCUACAGCGGUAAUAUGAGAAUUGUUUUCAAUGCAUGGGUAACAAACAAUAGCAAUAUGUAUUAAUGUAAUACAUUUAUAUGUGAUAAUAUAUGAAGCAAUAUAUUGGAAGUAUUUCUUGGGGGGAAAAAAAGGAGCAUUUGAAAAUUCAUAGAAAUUUGAACGAAACGUAUAAAGCUCCUUAUACAUUUUUCACUGAGUUUUCCAGGCAGAAAUUUAAAUUUCUUGACGUUUAAAGUUGUUUAUGGACCAGCGGCUGUUUCCAUAUAAUACAUUUUAUUCGGAAAUGGAAGUAUAGCUGAAAUAUGUAUGAUAUUAAGCCCCCUUCUUCAUGUUUUAAAUCUUCUAAUGACACUUGAAUGUUUAUCACUGAAUUAUAAGACAAGGAAUACUUCUCAGUGGAUAGCCACAAAUAGAAAUCAAGAAUAAAUGGCUGGUUUUACAGAAGACAAUUGAUUCAUCAUGUACCAAAUAAAUUUUUGUAUAAAUAUGAAGAAACAUGCAAACUAUAGAAUGGUGUUCUUUUGCAUGUUUGUUUUGUUCCUUAUGGCAUUGGCUAUAUUUUUGUCAUACCUGUUAGUUGAAGAAUGUCUUUAUUGUAAUUAAUGAUUUUUUAAAAAAGGAAGAGCUAUGUGUAAUGUUAGUUUAAAAGAUAUAAUAGGACAUUAACAUGAUAUUACUCUGUAUUCGUAUUGUGUCUUGUUUGUGUAGGAGCUGCUUGUGUAUGUCUUCUGAUUUUCAAGUUGGAGGAGUUUCACAAGAAGUGAAUUCACUUAAAAUUGUAUGUCAAAAUUUGCAAAAUAUUUACAGAAAUUUGUGAAAUGAUGAAACAAAUUUAUGUUGAUAAGUAUUUAAGUAUACAAUGUUAUGAAUGUGUUAAAUAAUUUAAAGACUGUCUUCAAUGAACUGGUUAUGAUAUAUGCUCAGGCAGCCUUCAGUGAUAACUGAUAAAUCUUAUGCAGCGAAGAGGAAAGUUCAAGGAGGAUUGGCAAUUGAAGUUGAUCAGUAAGCCUGUCAAGACUGCUUCUAGAGCUGGAAACAACACGAGUAAUAGUGUAUCAAUGGAGAAAAAUACUGUGAAACGCAUAACAACUUUAUAAAGUUAUUUAAAAAUAUAUAUAUAAAGAUUCAGACAAAUAUAAUGUGAAUUUUGCUUUUGAGCUGCGAUAGAUGUACUAAAGACGUUGAUGAAGUUGUCAUUCAGCGACCUGUGAUGUUGAAUAGUGAUCAGUUUGUUUGUUUUCAUUGUCCAUUUUCUUCAAAUAAAGCAGAACACAUUCGCGAACAUUUGCAGACUCACUCAGAAUGCCGCCGUAAGUCAUUUUCUCGCAAGGCUUCAGGUGCAAAUCGAUUUACUUGCUACCAGUGUUCUUUUACAACUGAUACUGAAAAGGCGAUUUCAGAGCAUCUGCAAAGUCAUGUAGCUAAACAUCAUUAUAAUUGCUACAUGUGUGACCAGAAAUUUCACUUUAAACAUGAAUUAACUUUGCAUCUUAAAACACAUGCAAGUUGUCAAACAUUCAGGUGUGAUUUGUGCUCACGAGAAUUCUCUCGUCUUAGUAUGCUGUCUUAUCACCGAAAGUAUCAUACAGAUAAAAAAUUGUUUGAAUGUCGUUAUUGCCAUAAAGUGUUUUGCGAUAUUAUUUCAUUCAACCAGCAUGAAAGCAUCCAUACUGACACUAAUUAUGUCAACAGAAAAUAAAUACUUUCUGGACAAGGUGAAUUUCAACAUACACGAUUUAAUUUUAACAUUAACAGCAUUAAUUUCAACCAAAUAGUUUUUUAUAUCCCUUCUGGAUCAAUGUACCUGCAGUUCAGUUUAAAUUUUUUUUUCAUAAUGUUUUAUAUAUAUUUAUGUUGUUCUUGCAAAAAAAAAAAUGUUUACAGUUUGUUCUUGUAAUAUAUUUGACUUGUGAAUGUAAUUCAUAGUGUUUAAGGUCAUAUAAGUGUUAUAUAAUGGUUCUAAAAGACUUCAAACAUUAAUAAAAAUUCUUUUAUUCAGCCUCAUAUUGACUAAAUAUUUUUUCUUUUAAAACAUGAGCAUAUAUAAAUUUGAAAGCAUCGAACUUUAAAAUAAUUUGAAGGAUAAAUAUUGCUCAUUAACCUUUUUCUUCAUUAUGUAAUUUUGAAACAGUGUUGUAUUGUGCUGUGUAUGCCCGAAAUUAAACAUAUUUUUAGAAAAA